GGCGAGAUGGCCGAGCGGUCUAAGGCGCCAGACUAAGGUCCAGGACGAGAACGUCCAAAUAAUCUGGUCCGAAAGGGCGUGGGUUCGAAUCCCACUCUCGUCA